GACGAACGCUGGCGGCGUGCCUAAUACAUGCAAGUUGAGCGCUGAAGGUUGGUACUUGUACCAACUGGAUGAGCAGCGAACGGGUGAGUAACGCGUGGGGAAUCUGCCUUUGAGCGGGGGACAACAUUUGGAGACGAAUGCUAAUACCGCAUAAAAACUUUAAACACAAGUUUUAAGUUUGAAAGAUGCAAUUGCAUCACUCAAAGAUGAUCCCGCGUUGUAUUAGCUAGUUGGUGAGGUAAAGGCUCACCAAGGCGAUGAUACAUAGCCGACCUGAGAGGGUGAUCGGCCAAAUUGGGACUGAGACACGGCCCAAACUCCUACGGGAGGCAGCAGUAGGGAAUCUUCGGCAAUAGACGAAAGUCUGACCGAGCAACGCCGCGUGAGUGAAGAAGGUUUUCGGAUCGUAAAACUCUGUUGGUAGAGAAGAACGUUGGUGAGAGUGGAAAGCUCAUCAAGUGACGGUAACUACCCAGAAAGGGACGGCUAACUACGUG
rnacentral:rRNA from 1 species